rnacentral:rRNA from 1 species
GGCGGCGUGCCUAAUACAUGCAAGUCGAGCUUUCCGGAUCGGAGCUUGCUCUGGUUUGGUCAGCGGCGGACGGGUGAGUAACACGUGGGCAACCUGCCCGCAAGACCGGGAUAACUCCGGGAAACCGGAGCUAAUACCGGAUAACACCGAAGACCGCAUGGUCUUUGGUUGAAAGGCGGCCUUUGGCUGUCACUUGCGGAUGGGCCCGCGGCGCAUUAGCUAGUUGGUGAGGUAACGGCUCACCAAGGCGACGAUGCGUAGCCGGCCUGAGAGGGUGACCGGCCACACUGGGACUGAGACACGGCCCAGACUCCUACGGGAGGCAGCAGUAGGGAAUCUUCCGCAAUGGACGAAAGUCUGACGGAGCGACGCCGCGUGAGCGAAGAAGGCCUUCGGGUCGUAAAGCUCUGUUGUGAGGGACGAAGGAGCGCCGUUUGAACAAGGCGGCGCGGUGACGGUACCUCACGAGGAAGCCCCGGCUAACUACGUGCCAGCAGCCGCGGUAAUACGUAGGGGGCGAGCGUUGCCCGGAAUUAUUGGGCGUAAAGCGCGCGCAGGCGGUUCCUUAAGUCUGAUGUGAAAGCCCACGGCUCAACCGUGGAGGGUCAUUGGAAACUGGGGGACUUGAGUGCAGGAGAGGAGAGCGGAAUUCCACGUGUAGCGGUGAAAUGCGUAGAGAUGUGGAGGAACACCAGUGGCGAAGGCGGCUCUCUGGCCUGCAAGUGACGCUGAGGCGCGAAAGCGUGGGG